GAUGAACGCUAGCGGCAGGCCUAACACAUGCAAGUCGAGGGAGAAGCCCUUUCGGGGGCCGAAACCGGCGCACGGGUGCGUAACGCGUAUGCAACCUACCUUUCACAGGGGGAUAGCCCGAAGAAAUUUGGAUUAAUACCCCAUAAUAUUAUUGGAUGGCAUCAUUUGAUAAUUAAAACUGCGGUGGUGAAAGAUGGGCAUGCGUCCUAUUAGCUAGUUGGAGUGGUAACGGCACCCCAAGGCUACGAUAGGUAGGGGUCCUGAGAGGGAGAUCCCCCACACUGGUACUGAGACAGGGACCAGACUCCUACGGGAGGCAGCAGUGAGGAAUAUUGGCCAAUGGUCGGAAGACUGAACCAGCCAUGCCGCGUGCAGGAAGAAUGCCUUAUGGGUUGUAAACUGCUUUUAUAUGGGAAGAAUAAGGCGUACGUGUACGUUGAUGACGGUACCAUAUGAAUAAGCAUCGGCUAACUCCGUG
rnacentral:rRNA from 1 species